GACUCGGUGGCGGAUGGUCCGCGUCUACACCCUGUGAUCUUGGAGAAGUCUGCGCAUGCAGGUGCAGAAGUCGCCCGUUCGAUCCGGGCCCGAGUCA